rnacentral:rRNA from 1 species
UUCUUUUUGAAAGAUGGUUCGGCUAUCACUUACAGAUGGGCCCGCGGCGCAUUAGCUAGUUGGUGAGGGUAACGGCUCACCAAGGCGACGAUGCGUAGCCGACCUGAGAGGGUGAUCGGCCACACUGGGACUGAGACACGGCCCAGACUCCUACGGGAGGCAGCAGUAGGGAAUCUUCCGCAAUGGACGAAAGUCUGACGGAGCAACGCCGCGUGAGUGAUGAAGGUUUUCGGAUCGUAAAACUCUGUUGUUAGGGAAGAACAAGUGCCGUUCGAAAGGGCGGCACCUUGACGGUACCUAACGAGAAAGCCACGGCUAACUACGUGCCAGCAGCCGCGGUAAUACGUAGGUGGCAAGCGUUGUCCGGAAUUAUUGGGCGUAAAGCGCGCGCAGGCGGUCUCUUAAGUCUGAUGUGAAAGCCCCCGGCUCAACCGGGGAGGGUCAUUGGAAACUGGGAGACUUGAGUACAGAAGAGGAGAGUGGAAUUCCACGUGUAGCGGUGAAAUGCGUAGAGAUGUGGAGGAACACCAGUGGCGAAGGCGACUCUCUGGUCUGUAACUGACGCUGAGGCGCGAAAGCGUGGGGAGCAAACAGGAUUAGAUACCCUGGUAGUCCACGCCGUAAACGAUGAGUGCUAGGUGUUAGGGGUUUCGAUGCCCUUAGUGCCGAAGUUAACACAUUAAGCACUCCGCCUGGGGAGUACGACCGCAAGGUUGAAACUCAAAGGAAUUGACGGGGGCCCGCACAAGCAGUGGAGCAUGUGGUUUAAUUCGAAGCAACGCGAAGAACCUUACCAGGUCUUGACAUCCUUUGACCACCCUAGAGAUAGGGCUUUCCCCUUCGGGGGACAAAGUGACAGGUGGUGCAUGGUUGUCGUCAGCUCGUGUCGUGAGAUGUUGGGUUAAGUCCCGCAACGAGCGCAACCCUUGACCUUAGUUGCCAGCAUUCAGUUGGGCACUCUAAGGUGACUGCCGGUGACAAACCGGAGGAAGGUGGGGAUGACGUCAAAUCAUCAUGCCCCUUAUGACCUGGGCUACACACGUGCUACAAUGGAUGGUACAAAGGGUUGCGAAGCCGCGAGGUGAAGCCAAUCCCAGAAAGCCAUUCUCAGUUCGGAUUGCAGGCUGCAACUCGCCUGCAUGAAGCCGGAAUUGCUAGUAAUCGCGGAUCAGCAUGCCGCGGUGAAUACGUU